rnacentral:rRNA from 1 species
UAAUACGUAGGGUGCAAGCGUUGUCCGGAAUUAUUGGGCGUAAAGAGCUCGUAGGCGGUUUGUCGCGUCUGCUGUGAAAUCCCGAGGCUCAACCUCGGGCGUGCAGUGGGUACGGGCAGGCUAGAGUGCGGUAGGGGAGAUUGGAAUUCCUGGUGUAGCGGUGGAAUGCGCAGAUAUCAGGAGGAACACCGAUGGCGAAGGCAGAUCUCUGGGCCGCUACUGACGCUGAGGAGCGAAAGCAUGGGGAGCGAACAGGAUUAGAUACCCUGGUAGUCCAUGCCGUAAACGUUGGGAACUAGAUGUAGGGGCCUUUCCACGGUUUCUGUGUCGUAGCUAACGCAUUAAGUUCCCCGCCUGGGGAGUACGGCCGCAAGGCUAAAACUCAAAUGAAUUGACGG